rnacentral:rRNA from 2 species
UCAGGUAGGAAUACCCGCUGAACUUAAGCAUAUCAAUAAGCGGAGGA